AAAGCGAGCGGCGGAUGGGUGAGUAACACGUGGGGAACCUGCCCCUAAGUCUGGGAUACCAUUUGGAAACAGGUGCUAAUACCGGAUAAUAAAGCAGAUCGCAUGAUCAGCUUUUGAAAGGCGGCGUAAGCUGUCGCUAAGGGAUGGCCCCGCGGUGCAUUAGCUAGUUGGUAAGGUAACGGCUUACCAAGGCGACGAUGCAUAGCCGAGUUGAGAGACUGAUCGGCCACAUUGGGACUGAGACACGGCCCAAACUCCUACGGGAGGCAGCAGUAGGGAAUCUUCCACAAUGGACGCAAGUCUGAUGGAGCAACGCCGCGUGAGUGAAGAAGGUUUUCGGAUCGUAAAGCUCUGUUGUUGGUGAAGAAGGAUAGAGGUAGUAACUGGCCUUUAUUUGACGGUAAUCAACCAGAAAGUCACGGCUAACUACGUGCCAGCAGCCGCGGUAAUACGUAGGUGGCAAGCGUUGUCCGGAUUUAUUGGGCGUAAAGCGAGCGCAGGCGGAAAAAUAAGUCUAAUGUGAAAGCCCUCGGCUUAACCGAGGAACUGCAUCGGAAACUGUUUUUCUUGAGUGCAGAAGAGGAGAGUGGAACUCCAUGUGUAGCGGUGGAAUGCGUAGAUAUAUGGAAAGAACACCAGUGGCGAAGGCGGCUCUCUGGUCUGCAACUGACGCUGAGGCUCGAAAGCAUGGGGUAGCGAACAGGAUUAAGAUACCCCUGGUAGUCCAUGCCGUAAACGAAUGAGUGCUAA
rnacentral:rRNA from 1 species